ACGAACGCUGGCGGCGUGCUUAACACCUGCAAGUCGAACGAUGAAGCCUUAGCUUGCUUUGGUGGAUUAGUGGCGAACGGGUGAGUAACACGUGAGCAACGUGCCCAGGACUCUGGAAUAACCGCGGGAAACCGUGGCUAAUACCGGAUAGGUGCCGAGGCCGCAUGGUCUUCGGUUGGAAAGUUUUUGCGGUUCUGGAUCGGCUCACGGCCUAUCAGCUUGUUGGUGGGGUAAUGGCCUACCAAGGCGACGACGGGUAGCCGGCCUGAGAGGGUGACCGGCCACACUGGGACUGAGACACGGCCCAGACUCCUACGGGAGGCAGCAGUGGGGAAUAUUGCACAAUGGGCGCAAGCCUGAUGCAGCAACGCCGCGUGGGGGAUGACGGCCUUCGGGUUGUAAACCUCUUUUAGUAGGGAAGAAGCGCAAGUGACGGUACCUGCAGAAAAAGCACCGGCUAACUACGUG
rnacentral:rRNA from 1 species